CCCGGAUGUGGAGAACGUCCGCCCAGGGAACCUUUAUUCUUGUGCGUCAUUAGGCCGUACAAUAGCUGACAGAUUGCACACCCAGCUGCCCCUCCCUGCCCCGUGGGCCGAGAGUACAAGGGCAAACGGUGUCAAACUCAGGAUUGUGCUUGCAGAACAGGCACUGGAACCCCUGAGCUAAAUCCCCAGCCCUUGAAAGGACCUGUCUCUUAAUCUCUUAAAAAUGUAGGAGGUGGGAGAAAACAGACAAAGUUUUGAGAUUGGAAUCCCAGACCCCAUGGUUGACGAUGACAGUGACACAUCUGUCUGUCUGCAUUUGAAGGUUGUUAACAAGGACAGACCUUGGAGAGAUGUCUGUAUAUCUUUCCACCCACCAGAGGAUCACAAAACACAGAAAAAGAGCUCAGGCCUGGAAGUGAAAGGAAAUUUUGCAUGGAAAUUUUGCUUCUGUAGUUCAAGAUGGACUUACUAUGGGAGAGUCCCUACUUGAAAUGUUCUUUGUUCAACAUGUCUGGGUCCGUCCCACCUCACCUGCCGGAACAUGCCCGAGCCAACUUCUGCAUCUCAGGAAUGUCUGUCUCUAGAAGGGUUUUGUCAUUUUACCAGAAUGUAAAUGAGAACCUCGUUUAAAAUCAUCCAAUGAACAUGUUGCCAAUAUCAUGUGUGAACCAACACCAUGAUUGAGCUGGUUCGCUGAUGCAUCAAUUUCUGUAACCAAUGAAUGUAUACCAAAGAUGCCUCACUUGUAGCACCC